GCCCGCCUAGCUCAAUCGGAUAGAGCGUCAGACUCUUACUAGAGUACUAGCGGGUGAUCUGAAGGCUGCGAGUUCGACCCUCGCGGUGGGCU